rnacentral:SRP_RNA from 1 species
AAGAAAUUCCUUUCCGUCCGUUACAGUAGUCGAAAGGUGUGGUGGUGUCAAGAUUGCCAGGUCGGGAAUAUUUGGCCGAAAC